AUGAUGUAUUAUACUCUGCAUCUGAACUGACAAGGAAUGGACUCUUCAGCUCUGACAGCAAAUUUCUCCCUAGAAGUCUGGAAAAGCAGAAAGAGAAGAAUGAAGAAAUGUCUACAAAACUGCUCCUGUCCUUCAGACUACAUAGGACCAAACUCUUGCCUUUCAUCAGUUUUCAGUUUGUACAUUAAUAUAUCCUGGUGAAGUUCCUCAACCAUUUCUGCAACAUUCAAUUUUAAUUUAUAUUUGCCCACAUUCUUUCAUCUGUGAUUUGGACACAUGCAGGCUAUUGAAUAUAAUGGAUACAAAUCUCUCACUGAUUCCUUUGAGCUAUUUCAUAGUUCUGCUUUCACAGGCAGGAAACAGUCAAGAAAUAAUGAUUCAGUUAUUUCUUAAAUAUUUCACAAUUCUACAUUGAAUAAAGAAAAUGUGAAUUCCUGGAA